AUUGAACGCUAGCGGCAGGCCUAACACAUGCAAGUCGACCGAGUGGCGGACGGGUGAGUAAUGUCUGGGAAACUGCCUGAUGGAGGGGGAUAACUACUGGAAACGGUAGCUAAUACCGCAUACCAUCAGAUGUGCCCAGAUGGGCUUAGAUAGUUUGUGGGGUAACGGCUAACCAAGGCGACGAUCCCUAGCUGUUCUGAGAUGAUGACCAGUCCCACUGCAACGGAGAAACGGUCCAGACUCCUACGGGAGGCAGCAGUGGGGAAGAGUGCACAAUGGGCGCAAUCCUGAUGCAGCCAUGCCGCGUGUAUGAAGAAGGCCUUCGGGUUGUAAAGUACUUCCAGCGGGGAGGCGUUACCCGCAGAAGAAGCACCGGCUAACUCCGUGCCAGCAGCCGCGGUAAUUC
rnacentral:rRNA from 1 species